UUUCUUACAAGCAGAAGCCCAUCCCCAGGCAUCCUCUAGUGCUGACUGACGAGAUAGGAGCAAAACUCAUGCAACCUGCCUUUCAGAUGCAAAUAGAACAUUCCUAAGUCCUUUGAGGCACUCUGCCAAUGUGGCUCCUUCCAUUUUGUGGCUCUGCCGGUCUUCUUGAACACAUGGCUCCUGAGGCUGGGGUAGAGAAAGAGAGCAUAUGUUGGAGAACCUGGCGUUCUAUGUCAUGAGAGAAUGAACCAGAAUGGGGCAUAUGCUUCUAACCUGAAGACAAGACUGCAGAAUUGACUAUAUACACAGUCCUGUGUCACUUAAAGACAGGGAUACAUUCUGAGAAAUGCAUCAUGAGGCAGUUUCAUCAUUGUGCGAAUAUCAUGGAGUGUCCUUACACAAAGCUAGACGGUAUACACCUACUACAUACCUAGCCUCUAUGGUAUAGCCUGUUGAUCCUAGGUUACAAACCUGUACAGCAUGUUACUGUAUUCAAUACUGUAAGCAUUUAUGACACAAUGGUAAGUAUUUGUGUAUCUAAAGAUAUCUCAAGAUAGAAAAGGCACAGUAAAAAUACGGUAUUAUAAUCUUAUGGGACCACCAUUUUACAUUCAGUCCAUUAUUGACCAAAGCAUCAUUAUGCAGUACAUGACUGUAUUUGUGUAAGGAAAUUUAAAAAUAAAAAGGUAUGUUUGGAAACAGAUUAAAAGAGGGAUCAUAAAGUGCUGAAAGGACUCCUGUUUGAACCCUGAAAUUUCUCUAGCACUGUUCCUAAACUUUUGGGGUCACUGGCCAGUUAAUAACUGUAGAAAAACCAGAGAGCAUGUACCUUCUAAAUGUACCUACACAUGAAAUUAUGCAUACAAUUUUGGGGAUUCACAGAAAAGUCCUUAAAGGUCUAUCCAUGUGAUUGCUCUCAAUAUGUAUGAGAACACCUGGCCUGAGUGAAAAUUCUCCAUCAGGAGGCUUCUCCCCAUGGCGAACAUGGAGUUAGAGGUUGAAGGCUGAGGAGGAGUUUUGUAGGUAGAAAAGAGAGAAAGAGGCCAGGCGCAGUGGCUCAUGCCUGUAAUCCCAGUACUUUGGGAGGCCAAAGUGGGCAGAUCACUUAAGGUCAGGAGUUCGAGACCAGCCCAGCCAAUAUGGUGAAACCCCGUCUCUACUAAAAAUACAAAAAUUAUCUGGGCAUGGUGGCACAUGCCUGUAGUCCCAGCUAUUCAGGAGGAUGAGGCACAAAAAUUGCUUGAACCCGGGAGGCGGAGGUUGCAGUGAGCCGAGAUUGCACCACUGCACUCCAGCCUGAGUGACAAGAGUGAGACUUGGUCUCAAAAAA
rnacentral:lncRNA from 1 species